rnacentral:rRNA from 1 species
UACGUAGGGGGCGAGCGUUAUCCGGAAUUAUUGGGCGUAAAGAGUGCGUAGGUGGUUUGGUAAGCGUGAGGUGAAAGGCAAUAGCUUAACUAUUGUAAGCCUUGCGAACUGCCAGACUUGAGUGCAGGAGAGGAAAGUGGAAUUCCUAGUGUAGCGGUGAAAUGCGUAGAUAUUAGGAGGAACACCAGUGGCGAAGGCGACUUUCUGGACUGUAACUGACACUGAGGCACGAAAGCGUGGGGAGCAAACAGG